CAGCCGCCGCGGGAAUACGUAGGUGGCAAGCGUUGUCCGGAAUUAUUGGGCGUAAAGGGCUCGCAGGCGGUUUCUUAAGUCUGAUGUGAAAGCCCCCGGCUCAACCGGGGAGGGUCAUUGGAAACUGGGAAACUUGAGUGCAGAAGAGGAGAGUGGAAUUCCACGUGUAGCGGUGAAAUGCGUAGAGAUGUGGAGGAACACCAGUGGCGAAGGCGACUCUCUGGUCUGUAACUGACGCUGAGGGGCGAAAGCGUGGGGAGCGAACAGGAUUAGAUACCCCCGUAGUCCCUGUCUCUUAUAC
rnacentral:rRNA from 1 species